rnacentral:rRNA from 1 species
AUUGAACGCUGGCGGCAGGCCUAACACAUGCAAGUCGAGCGGAGCGGCGGACGGGUGAGUAAUGCCUAGGAAUCUGCCUGGUAGUGGGGGAUAACGUCCGGCAACGGGCGCUAAUACCGCAUACUAUCAGAUGAGCCUACGUCGGCUUAUCUAGUGGGUGGGGUAAAGGCCUACCAGGGCGACGAUCCGUAACUGGUCUGAGAGGAUGAUCAGUCAAAUUGGAACAGAGACACGGUCCAGACUCCUACGGGAGGCAGCAGUGGGGAAUAUUGGACAAGAGGCGAGAGCCUGAUCCAGCGAUGCCGCGUGUGUGAAGAAGGUCUUCGGAUAGUAAAGCACUUUAAGUUGGGAGGCGUUACCAACAGAAUAAGCACCGGCUAACUUCGUGCCAGCAGCCGCGGUAAUUC